rnacentral:rRNA from 1 species
UACGGAGGAUCCAAGCGUUAUCCGGAAUCAUUGGGUUUAAAGGGUCCGUAGGCGGUUUGGUAAGUCAGUGGUAAAAGCCCAUCGCUCAACGGUGGAACGGCCAUUGAUACUGCCAGACUUGAAUUAUUAGGAAGUAACUAGAAUAUGUAGUGUAGCGGUGAAAUGCUUAGAUAUUACAUGGAAUACCAAUUGCGAAGGCAGGUUACUACUAAUGGAUUGACGCUGAUGGACGAAAGCGUGGGUAGCGAACAGG